rnacentral:rRNA from 1 species
AUUGAACGCUGGCGGCAGGCCUAACACAUGCAAGUCGAGCGGAUGAAGGGAGCUUGCUCCUGGAUUCAGCGGCGGACGGGUGAGUAAUGCCUAGGAAUCUGCCUGGUAGUGGGGGAUAACGUCCGGAAACGGGCGCUAAUACCGCAUACGUCCUGAGGGAGAAAGUGGGGGAUCUUCGGACCUCACGCUAUCAGAUGAGCCUAGGUCGGAUUAGCUAGUUGGUGGGGUAAAGACCUACCAAGGCGACGAUCCGUAACUGGUCUGAGAGGAUGAUCAGUCACACUGGAACUGAGACACGGUCCAGACUCCUACGGGAGGCAGCAGUGGGGAAUAUUGGACAAUGGGCGAAAGCCUGAUCCAGCCAUGCCGCGUGUGUGAGGAAGGUCUUCGGAUUGUAAAGCACUUUAAGUUGGGAGGAAGGGCAGUAAGUUAAUACCUUGCUGUUUUGACGUUACCAACAGAAUAAGCACCGGCUAACUUCGUG